rnacentral:rRNA from 1 species
GAGUUUGAUCCUGGCUCAGGACGAACGCUGGCGGUGCGCCUUAUGCAUGCAAGUCGAGCGAAGCUUUCAGUAGUUACUACAGAAAAUGACUGAGCGGCGAACGGGUGAGUAACGCGUGAGCAAUCUACCUUAGUUACAGGGAUAGCCCGAGGAAACUCGGAUUAAUACCUGAUAUUCUUUUUAUCUCGCAUGAGUUUUUAAGGAAAGGUCAGCCGAACUAAGAUGAGCUCGCGUUCUAUCAGCUAGUUGGUGAGGUAAUAGCUCACCAAGGCUACGACGGAUAGCUGGUCUGAGAGGACGAUCAGCCACACUGGGACUGAGACACGGCCCAGACUCCUACGGGAGGCUGCAGCAGGGAAUCUUGCGCAAUGAGCGAAAGCUUGACGCAGCGACACCGCGUGUGGGAUGACGGAUCUAGGUUUGUAAACCACUUUCAGGAGGGAAGAAAAUGACGGUACCUCCACAAGAAGCCCCGGCCAACUACGUGCC